UUUUGAGCUCUUGUGUGAUGUUCAAUCUUCUGCUUGAAAAAUGCGAAUUUGAGUCUCCUUUUAUAUGCUUAAACAAAAGUCAGCUUUAGUUUUACAUUGGAUGCUUUUUUUAUUUUUUUGGUAUGUGAACAAAGUUUGGCAUUAUUUUGAUCCUUUUUUUUCAUUUUGCCAACUGCCCUCAUACGAAUAUAUCUGCUUUCUUUCUUGUGUGUGGUUGUCUGGCGAACUUUGGGGGGGGGACUCGUGAGUUUGUUUUUGAGUUCUUUUGUGAUGGUGGGUGACUCGUGAGUUUGUUUUUGAGUUCUUUUGUGAUGUUCAAUCUUCUGAUUGAAAAAGGCUAGUCUGAGCCUCCUUUUCUAUGCUUAAAAUCAAGGUCGGCUUUUUAGUUUACUUUGGUGAGGUGACUCUGUGAGCUUCUGAUUUUGAGUGUUUUUUGUGAUGUUCAAUCUUCUGCUUGAAAAUUGCGAAUUUGAGUCUCCUUUUAUUUGCUUAGAUCAAGGUCGGCUUAGUUUUACAUUCGGUGAAUGUUGUUGGUAUGUGAACAAAGUUUGGUAUAAUUUUGAUACUUGUUUCUCAUGUUGGCAACAGCCCUAACACCAAUAUAUUUUCUUUCUUUCUUGUGUGUGUGAGUGGCUGUCUGGCAAACUUUGGGUGGGUGACUCGUGAGCUUCUUAUUUGAGCUCUUUUGUGAUGUUCAUUCUUCUACUUGAAAAUGCGAAUUUGAGCCUCCUUUUGUAUGCUUAAGUCGAUGUCGGCUUUAGUUUUACAUUCAAUGAAUGUUGUUGGUACGUGAACAAAGUUUGGCAUAAUAUGGAUCCUUGUUUCUCAUGUUGGCAACAGCCCUAACACCAAUAUAUUUUCUUUCUUUCUUGUGUGUGUGAGUGGCUGUCUGGCAAACUUUGGGUGGGUGACUCGUGAGCUUCUUAUUUGAGCUCUUUUGUGAUGUUCAUUCUUCUACUUGAAAAUGCGAAUUUGAGCCUCCUUUUGUAUGCUUAAGUCGAUGUCGGCUUUAGUUUUACAUUCAAUGAAUGUUGUUGGUACGUGAACAAAGUUUGGCAUAAUAUGGAUCCUUGUUUCUCAUGUUGGCAACAGCCCUUAUACCAAUAUAUUUGCUUCUUUCUUGUGGGUGUGAGUGGCUGUUUGGCGAACUUUGUGUGGGUGACUCGUGAGCUUCUAAUUUUUAGCUCUUUUGUGAUGUUCAAUCUUCUGCUUGAAACAGGCGAAUCGGAGCUUCCUUUUAUAUGCUUGAAUCAAGGCCGGCUUGAGUUUACUUUUGUUGGGUGACUCGUGAGCUUCUGAAUUUGAGCUCUUUUGUGAUGUUCAAUCUUCUACUUGAAAAAGGCGAAUUUGAGUCUCCUUUUAUUAACUCAAGGUUUGCUUUAGUUUUACAUUCACCGAAUGUUGUUGGUUUGUGAAUAAAGUUUUGCGUAAUUUUGAUCCUUAUGUGAACAAAAGUUUCGCAUAAUUUUGAUCCUUGUUUCUCACGUUGCCAACAGCUCUUAUACCAAUAUAUUUGCUUUCUUAUUUGUGUGCGAGUGGCUGUCUGGGGAGCUUUGGGUGGGUGACUGGUGAGCUUUUAAUUUUGAGCUCUUUUCUGAUGUUCAAUUUUAUGCUUGAAAAAGGCGAAUCUGAGUCUCCUUUUAUAUGCUUUUAGAUCAAGAUUGGCUUUGGUUUACCUUGUUUAGGUGACUCGUGAGCUUCUGAUUUUGAGCUCUUUUGUGAUGUUCAAUCUUCUGCUUGAAUAAGGCGAAUCUUAGCCUCCUUUUAUAUGCAAAACAAGGUCUGCCUUAGUUUUACAUUCGGUGAAUGUUGUUCGUAUGUGAAUAAGGUUUGGCAUUAUUUUGAUCCUUAUUUCUCAUGUUGCCAAUAGCCCUUAUAUGAAUGUAUCUGCUUUCUUUCUUGUGUGUGUGAGUGGCUGUGUGGCGAACAUUGGGUGGGUGACUCGUGAGCUUCUGAUUUUGAGCUGUUUUGUGAUGUUCAAUCUUCUGCUUGAAAAAGGCGAAUCUCAGCCUCUUUUUGUUUGCUUUAGUUUUACAUUCGGUGAAUAUUGUUGGUAUGUGAACAAAGUUUGGCGUAAUUUUGAUCUUUCUUGUUGUUGAUAUGUGAACAAAGUUUGGCAUAAUUUUGAUCCUUGUUUCUCAUGUUGCCAACAGCCCUUAUACCAAUAUAUCUGCUUUCUUUUGGGUGUGUGAGUGGCUGUCUGGCGAACUUUGGGUGGGUGACUCGUGAGCUUUUGAUUGUGAGCUAUUUUGUGAUGUUCAAUUUUAUGCUUGAAAAAGGCGAAUUUGAGUCUCCUUUUAUAUACUUUUAAAUCAAGGUCGGCUCUCGUUUACCUUGGUUAGGUGAAUCGUGAGCUCCUGAUUUUGUGCUCUUUUGUGAUGUUCAAUCUUCUGCUUGAAAGAGGCUAAUCUUAGCCUCCUUUUAUAUGCAAAACAAGGUCAGCUUUAGUUUUACAUUCGGUGAAUUUUGUUCGAAUGUGAAAUAAGUUUUGCAUUAUUUUAAUCCUUGUUUCUCAUGUUGCCAACAGCCCUUAUAGGAAUAUAUAUGCUUUCUUUUUUGUGUGUGAGUGGCUGUGUGGUGAACUUUGGGUGGGUGACUCGAGAGCUUCUGAUUUGAGCUGUUUUGUGACUCGAGAGCCUGUUUUUGUUUGCUUAAAUCAAGGUCGGCUUUAGUUUUAUAUUCGGUGAAUGUUUUUAGUAUGUGAACAAAGUUUGGCGUAAUUUUGAUCCUUCUUGUUGUUGGUAUGUGAGCAAAGUUUGGCAUAAUUAUGAUCCUUAUUUCUCAUGUUGGCAACUGCCCUUGUACCAAUUUAUCUGCUUUCUUUCUUGUGUGUGGCUGUUUGGUGAACUUUGUGUAGGUGACUCGUGAGCUUCUGAUUUUGAGCUCUGUUGUGAUGUUUCAAUCUACUGCUUAAAAAAGGUGAAUCUGAUCCUCCUCUUUAUGCUUAAAUCAAGGUCGGCUUUAGUUUUAGAUUCGGUGAAUGUUGUUGGUAUGCAAACAAAGUUUAGCAUAAUUUUGAUCAUUGUUUCUCAUGUUGGCCACAGCCCUUGUACCAAUACCUAUCUGCUAUUUUUCUUGUGUGUGAGUGGCUGUUUUGCGAACUUUUGGUGGGUGACUCGUGAGCUUCUGAUUUUGAGCUCUUUUGUGAUCCAUUUUUUGCUUAAAAAAGAUGAAUCUUAUCCUCCUUUUACAUGCUUGAAUCUAGGUUGGCUUUGGGAGGUGUAUGGCUUCGGGGUGAGAUUUUUUAUCAUUAGUUUGCCCUGUGAGGUGGAUGGUUUCGGGGUGAUAGACUAGAUUUGAUCACAGUAGAGAAUGUUCAAAAUGAAAACAAAACAAAACUCACUAACAGCUGGUAUGCAUAUUUUAGAUAAAAAACGUAGAAAUAAUGCAACAACAACGUGGUCAAGUAUUUUGACUUAGCUGCAUUUAAGGCCACAUCGGUGAGCUCUGAUUUAUCAUCUUUAACGUUUCAUGUCACUUUAUUUUAAAGAUGGUACUUUUGGGUAAAUUGCAUGUGAGAUGUUCCAUUAUUUUAAAGAUGGAAGUGAAAUUUUUCUUUCGAGCGGUGAUACAUGAUUCGAAUGUAGGGGAGUUUUUUAAAAUUUUUGGUGGAACCCAGAUGACUCGCCAGCUAUUAGUAUGCGGGUAGGUUAUUUGGUAGUUAAUUUUGCUAACUUAGAUAUUUAUUUAUGUUAAUUACUGUAGCUAACUAUAAUUCCCUGGUAUAAUU
rnacentral:lncRNA from 1 species